ensembl:lncRNA
AGCAUGUACUUCAGGCUGAGCUUUGAACAGAGGGACAUGCUGGAGUAUGCCUGAUUGUAGUGUUUUCACCUCCUGUUUUCAGGCAGAGGUCAGCGUUCACAUCUUAUGUAAAUAAAUUGGCCUCCUGACAGCAAAAACAUUGCAAGGCCACGUAUACAGACUCACUGCUCAGACAGCAGUGCAGGGAAUGCAGCUGCCAGGAAGAGAAGGUGGAGCUCAGCAGAUGGAUCUAGAUGGGAAGGAGGUCCAGUGUUGGAAGUCCAGUGCUGGAAACCUGACAAGUAAUGAGAGCUGGAAGGGAGUCCAGUUUCUCCAGUGAUUCUAAACAUCGCAGCAGAGCCAAGUUUAAGUAAGUCUGAGGUCCAGGAAGGCAAUGAAAGAAUCAUCUCAAAGGAGAGAGAAUUACCUUUGCUGUUGUUUCUUGGAUGCUUCUUGUGAGAAGAUGCACAGCUACAGUGCCUGCAGUUGAUGAAGGGAACUACUACAUUCACGGGCAUUCCAGCAAUGUUCUCAUUUGCCCAGAUCAAUCUAUUUGAUGAUUUGAUAAAUGCUGAAAACGUCUUCUUUACUGUAGUGUGGGCAGUCUGAUGUAGUUUAUCCAGAGCAGGAUUCAUCUGAAAGAAAACUAGUGCCAG